AUCGAACGCUGGCGGCAGGCCUAACACAUGCAAGUCGAACGAGUGGCGGACGGGCGAGUAAUGUCUGGGAAACUGCCUGAUGGGGGGGGAUAACUCCUGGAAACGGUAGCUACUACCGCUUACAAUCAGUUCUGCCCUGAGUGGAUUAGCUACUUGGUGUGGUAAAGGCUCACCAAGGCGACGCUCCCUAGCAGGUCUGAGAGGAUGACCAGCCACACUGGAACUGCGACACGGUCCAGACUCCUACGGGAGGCAGCAGGGGGGAAGAUUUCACAAUGGGCGAAAGCCUGAUGCAGCCAUGCCGCGUGUAUGAAGAAGGCCUUCGGGUUGUAAAGUACUUUCGGCGGGGAGGCGUUACCCGCAGAAGAAGCACCGGCUAACUCCGUGCCAGCAGCCGCGGUAAUAC
rnacentral:rRNA from 1 species